rnacentral:rRNA from 1 species
UAGGGAAUCUUCCGCAAUGGACGCAAGUCUGACGGAGCAACGCCGCGUGAGUGAAGAAGGAUUUCGGUUCGUAAAACUCUGUUGUUAGAGAAGAACAGCGCAUAGAGUAACUGUUAUGCGUGUGACGGUAUCUAACCAGAAAGCCACGGCUAACUACGUGCCAGCAGCCGCGGUAAUACGUAGGUGGCAAGCGUUGUCCGGAUUUAUUGGGCGUAAAGCGAGCGCAGGCGGUCAAUUAAGUCUGAUGUGAAAGCCCCCGGCUCAACCGGGGAGGGUCAUUGGAAACUGGUUGACUUGAGUGCAGAAGAGGAGAGUGGAAUUCAAUGUGUAGCGGUGAAAUGCGUAGAUAUAUGGAGGAACACCAGUGGCGAAGGCGACUCUCUGGUCUGUAACUGACGCGGAGGCUCGAAAGCGUGGGGAGCGAACAGG